AUGAGGAGCCCUGGGGCCCCACUCAAGCACAGGCAGGAGCAAGAGAUGGAACGGGAGACAGGAAGCGCCCGUCGACAGGGGCCUCACAGUGAACAGCCUGACCCGGUCCAAGUACUGCUGACACCCAGUCAGGAGGAGGAGGAGGACCAGGCCGCGCCCAGACAGGACUCAGCUUUGGGCCAGGACCCCACCCACCCUGGAGCUGCGCUUGUCCGGAGCAGCCCUCACCCCUGUGAACCUUGUAGGGAGGUGGAGCAGGACGGAGGGGUAGGGAAGAGAGGGGAGGAGGGUGAGGCUGGUAGGGAGGGGGUGGGGGUGAGGCUGUGCGAGUUGCUGCAGGUGGGGGGGGUGAGCGUCAGACCUCUGGGGAGACAUUUGGCCAUUUCCCUGCCCUCGCUUCCUCUGCGCCUCUGGGAUCCGCACGGCUCACACCUGGAACCCCUUCACACACACCCUCCCCCCCCAUCCUCGCCUCCUCCCCCACCUUCUUCUGUGGAAUCUUCUGGGCCAAGCAAACCUUUCACGCCCCUCUGGCAGCCCCCCCGGCCCCACUCGUCCGCCACGGCCGCUCCGCCCUGGCCACCCGACAGCACGCCUCACUGGUCCUCCUGGAGCCUGGACGGUCCCAACGCGGUGGUGACACCAUACGACACCCCCCCAGACCGCUGCAUCCCCAUCCAGACGCAGACCUCCGGCCAGCACGCCAGCUUCAGCUGCCAGUCCUCUCCGGGUCACUACAGCUCCCAGCAUGCCCUGGGGCGCCACAGCUGUGACCACGAAGAGGCAGAGCUGUCUGAGCUGGACUCCCUAUAUCAAGCCAGCCUCUUAGCUGGGAGGACAGGUACACACACACACACACACACACACACACACACACACACACACACACACACACAGUGUUUUGAGCAGCAUCCUCCUCCGUGUGUGUGUUCAGGCUGCAGCCCGUCAGAGAGGCUUAUAUCCAGGGUGGGAGGGCAGGCUCGCUCCAAGACCCCCAACGCAGACAUGGAGAGGAGUGCGUACGGGGCGGACUGCACCAGAAGCCCCGCCUACCUCAACAAGGUGACGUCUAUGCAGGUAUCCCUCGCAGGUAUCUCUCGUGGCUUUGCGUUCCAGCACCGACAGACAUUUUGUAACCCCUCAGCCAAUGGCGUUGCAGGACUUCCGUUUGGGGGCGGAGCCUGAUGAUGGGGAGAACCCGAGGCGAAUCGGACGCAGCCUGAGCGGAACCGUGGUGGCGUCGCGUCGCGGUCGUCUGACCGCCACCCGCAGCUUUGUGAGUUGGACUUCCUGCGCUCUGCUGCCGCCUCGUGGCCGCGCUCUGGAACUGCACUUGCCUGAUGUCCUGUCGCUUCACAUUCUGCUGUUCCCUGUGCUCUUCUCCCCCUCUUGCUGUUCGUCUCCUUCCGGUCCUGCUUUUCCAUCCGGGACGUGUCCAUCUGUCCCUCUCUCUGUCUCUAAGGUGAAGCAGGCUGAUGUCAGUCCCCUCUCCCUGCUUACUUCCUCUUUUCUGAGUCCCUGUUGCUCCUCCACCACCAUCACCUCCUCCAUCCUCCUCAUCACCAACACCUCCUAUCACCACCUCCCUCCUCCGCUUCACAGGUAAAGACUGCACUGAGCUCAUAUGAUGUUUUAUUAAGGGGAACAGUCUCGGCUCCCUUUGGUGCCAGAUCGGACUCCAAUGACAAACUCUCCAUUUGGGAAUUUGGGAAUCUUCUUUGGGUUGUAAAACCAGAUGAAUCUGGCACCAAAGUAAGCGAAGCUGGUUUUUGUGCCUGGUAAAAAUGUGACGCGUCAAAACUUCAUAUUUUUCUGUCCCCUUGAGGUCAUUUUAAACUCCGUGCACGUUCCUGCCACCGUGCACGCUAGCUCAUGUUACACUUCCAUGAACUUCCUCUUAAAUUCAUCCAUGAACGGACGCCUCAGGUGAUCGUUUUACCCGUAAAUCUGCCCAAACCUCAGAGGUUGUGGGGCUCUGGUGGAUCUCUCUGGACCCGUGUUCUGUAGCAGCAGGUUCUGGCCCGGCCCGGGUCAGUGCUAACGUCAGCCGUCUGUCUCUCCUGGCAGGAGGUGUCGGGCGGCGCCGGGGCCUUCUGGUUGUGUCUGACAGGCGUCAGGUUGUCCUCCAACGGUCCCUCACAGCUUCAGUAACGUCGCAGCCUGGUCCGUCUCCAGCUCAGCCCCCCUACGUGGACCCGGGGUCGGCUCUGGGGGAUCGGCCCGCCAUCCUCGUCCUGCUCGCUGUAUUUUUUGGAACAUGCAAAGGCAGCCACAUGCACGCUCACAUGCACAGCUGUGCGCCCUGCUUCGCCUCCCCUCACCUUCUCACCUUCUUGUCUAUGCAGUCAUUCUGACCCCUAACUCCAACCUCACCCCCAGCGGGCCCUCGUCCUCCUGGGACUCUUGUCUUUGCCCCCCUCCUGGGCUCUCAGAGGGUUCCUCUGUGCGAUCAACCUGGUUGGAGAGCCUCGGCUCACACCUUCUCUGGAUCCCAUUGAAGCCCCCCCCACACACGGGACCCUCGGCUCAGGAGGAGGCUCUCACCACGAAGCCACGCCUCUUCCUCUUUCUUUAGGGCAUUUCCUGCUGGGACGCUCACGUAGCCUGAGUGACAGGCCUGUUUCUCCUUCCUGAGACGGAACUCUCAUCACAACCGUCUUGUACAGACAAACUGACGUAUGAAACCUGUAUGUUAGUGAAUAAGACCUUAUGGAAUGUUGAUAAUGAUCAUUAACAAAUCUUGGUACAUUUAACAGUGAUACUUCCUCACGUCUGCAUUCCCAGUAGGAGUGGAGUGCACUUCAAAAGUGUCUAGCUGGAGCCCCCCCCCCAAAAAAACCAGACUAAAACACUCGCUGACCUACUGACGGCCCUCCCGUUUCUACCGGGAGAUUAAACAGAGAAGCUUUUUUCUUUCCUCCCCCCUCGCUCUCGCUCUUUUCUUUCUCCCAAAGAGGAACUAGAAACAGGAACCACGGGCGGAAGGAGACGCAACAGGGAAACGCUUCGCCUGAGCGGAGCGAUGAUACAAGUGCACUUUGUGGAGGUCAGAGAUGUUUGAAAGGCUGCAGGUGAUCUUAUUACCCCCCCCCCCCCCCCCACUGAAGCCUGGAUGUGAGCAGGAGACUCGUCUUCACUGACGUGUCCAGCGUCAACGUGCUUUAUAUGACGUAUUUGAGGUAUAUUUUCAGAGAUGUCAACCCUUCCUCAGUUGUAUCGACCCCCCCCCGCAGCACCAAGGAGCUUUCUGACAUGUGCAGAGUACAUAUAUUCUAUGCUUUAUUCUAAAACCUAUGAUAACUAAGUCCUUAUACGAGAGGCCAAUGUAAAUCUAGCCGAAGUCGACAGAUUGUUGGAACUAAACCAAAGGUUGGCGCUGAACUCAGAGAGUCUGUUGAACGUUCGCCACUUUCUUUUCUUCUGGCUCCGUUUCUUGAUGGUUUCCUUGUUUUUCGGGUUCUGGAUGUGGGAGAAUGUAGCCAAUUGUAGCGCAUGAGUCUGCUAUGCAAAUCAACCCUCCCUCGCUAUCCUGUAUCAGAGACAGCCAGGAGGCCACACCCCCCCGCGACGGGCGCUCUCACCUGGAGAUGAAGAUGAGGAGGAGGAGGAGGAGGAGGAGGAGACGUUAAAGCUGCUGGGAACUUUGCUGCUCUGCAUCGAAGUCGCUCUUUUAACCGAUGGGAUGCAAAAAGAGCGACCUGCUGGGGAGGGAGAGCAGGAGUGAGUGAGUGAGUGUGACAUUAGUGACAGGGUGAACGUGACAUCAGGGUGAACGUGAACGUGACAUCAGGGUGAACGUGAACGCGACAUCAGGGUGAACGUGAACGCGACAUCAGGGUGAAUGUGAACGCGACAUCAGGGUGAACGUGAACGCGACAUCAGGGUGAACGUGACAUCAGGGUGAACGUGAACGCGACAUCAGGGUGAACGUGACAUCAGGGUGAACGUGAACGCGACAUCAGGGUGAACGUGACAUCAGGGUGAAUGUGACAUCAGGGUGAAUGUGAACGCGACAUCAGGGUGAACGUGAACGUGACAUCAGGGUGAACGUGAACGUGACAUCAGGGUGAACGUGAACGCGACAUCAGGGUGAACGUGACAUCAGGGUGAACGUGAACGCGACAUCAGGGUGAACGUGAACGCGACAUCAGGGUGAACGUGACAUCAGGGUGAACGUGUGUUUGUGAGCGAUGGCCAGAGAGGAGGGGAGGUGGCGCUGGUGGUCGGGUCUGUGUGGGUGUGUGUAGACUGUGUGUUAGUCCUGGGGUGGUGUUGCUCGGGGAAAGAGGGAACCUGUAUUUUUGCAAUAAAGUUAUUACCGAUGCACCCCCACAGGGGGCGCCACCACCAUGCUGGGUCUCAGCGUUGUCAUUUCAUGUUGAAGAUUGCCAGUUAAAAGCUAUCGUUUAAAUCCUCGUGCACGUUUAGCAUUUCUGUCAGAAAAGAGGAGUUAAACUGUUACAUUCCCCCAGUCAAACAUUCUCCUGCAACUAUCUCGAAGAUGAACCAAAGUCUCCAACUUGUCUGAACCAGCACUUCUUCCUCCCGCCACCAGGCGGCAGCAGUGACCCGCCGAGCCGCCACGCGGAGCGUUCAUCCGCACUGACGUCACGGACACGGUGUUAAGUUGGAACCAACAUCCUCCCAACCUGAUUUAAAGACAAACCUUGUUUCAGGUGUUUGCGAGUUCAAAUCUCUUGUUUUAU
rnacentral:lncRNA from 1 species